CGAACCAUAACUGUUUCGCACUUGUUCAUCCACCAGGUAUGAAAGCCCCGCACGAUCCUCACCCUUUAGAUUCUUCGUCAUCAUCGCCGUAUUCUGAUUACCGGCAUCAGAAAAUACCACCAUAAGUCUCAGCUUUUGUGGCGUUGUCAUUGAAGCAUCACCAUUAAACGGAUUCGGUUGGUAACACUUUACUUUACACUUGUUUGAUGCAAUUACUACUAUUUUAUGAUGUUUGCCCAGUUCGAAUUCGUCAUAAUUUGUUUUAUGGUUUUUGAACUAACAUCAAUGGAAUCACUGCAAGUGUGAUCAGCUCAUGUUCAUUGGUUCUGCAUUUUUUUUCAUUUGUAAGUGUGAAAUCGCACUUUACAUUUUUUCAAUUCUUUCUUGAUUACAUAAGUUAUGGAAAUGUGGGAUUUUGAGCUUUGAAUCAAGUUUAUAUUUAAGUGGUAUGUGAAAAAGACAAAUGAGUAUAUGUUGUUUUAAAGAGAAGAAUUUGUUUCUAAAAUAACACUCGAGGUUUGAAUGUUCCUCUGUUAUCAAUAUCCAUUUAAGGUUC
rnacentral:lncRNA from 1 species